GUGCCAGCCGCUGCGGUAAUACGUAGGGUGCGAGCGUUAAUCGGAAUUACUGGGCGUAAAGCGUGCGCAGGCGGUGAUGUAAGACAGAUGUGAAAUCCCCGGGCUCAACCUGGGUACUGCAUUUGUGACUGCAUCGCUGGAUGCGGCAGAGGGGGAUGGAAUUCCGCGUGUAGCAGUGAAAUGCGUAGAUAUGCGGAGGAACACCGAUGGCGAAGGCAAUCCCCUGGGCCUGCACUGACGCUCAUGCACGAAAGCGUGGGGAGCAAACAGGAUUAGAUACCCGUGGUAGUCCCACGCCCUAAACGAUGUCAACUGGUUGUUAGGGAAUUUAGUUUC
rnacentral:rRNA from 1 species